GGCUCGCGCUCCUUCCCCAGCAGCUUGGAGGCUGGGUGAGCCGCAGCCGGCGGUUCUGUACCGCGGCUCCCUUCCCAGGCUGAGUCCAGCAGGCUGCAAAGUGCCCCCAGCCGCUUGCCUGUGCGUCCUGCAGCGGAGCCCCACCAAUAAAGUUACUGUUUAUGCUGCCCAGUUACAAUAUGGCGGCUCCCAUGGAGGAAGCGUGAAUCUCUCCUGCCUGCUUCGGCUUCCUGCUGCAGUCGCGCCUGUUGAAUCCGUGCGUCUGGAGGCAGCGCAGAGCUGCUGCUGACCGAGACUCUAGGUUGAUGGGAGGAACAGAGAGUCUUACUUACACACACACACACGCAGACUGCUGAGUCCCAGGUUGCGGGGACAAUCUGAACGAGGGGUGGCACCAAAGUACUGGAACUUGAAGAGUUCCUAUUGCCACAGAAAUCUGCGGAUUUCUUUCUGCAGUUGAACAUCAACAUUUCAUCUUCAGAGACUGCUGUCUCAGUUGGAGUUUGGCAUACGUAUGGAAAGCAGACUAGACAACUGGAGACGACCACUGCAGAUUGCAGAAGAGAAUUGUGCUCUUGGAGUAGCUGCUUGCCCGUAUCUGCAAAGGGUCUAUUCUUUUUCAUGCUUCUGUGACAACACUGUGGAAGAAAGUAUUUUGUGGGCAUUACCAUCAAACCAUCUCUGAAGCCCGGUGUCUCCAGACAUGUUAUUGGGAGAGAAACCGGAUCAGACCCAGCUGCCUUGUACAUACCAAACAACUCACUGUUUCGUCUUACAAGAGUCAUGGACAGUUAUUUCAAUCUCAUUCUUUUGGGGGGAAAAAUGCCAGCCUCUUUAAGAAAACUACAGCAAAUGGCUAUUUAUCUGGGGCUGUUAAGUGGUGGGGGAUGUGCUGUGAUGUAUUAUCUUAUGCAAAAAAAUUUUGCCAGGACACAGUAUUAUCAGCUGGCUAUUGAGCAGCUUAAGAAUGACCCUGCAGCCUUGGAGGCACUGGGAGCUCCCCCUCUUAAAGUUCACAACAUCAGACUGACAGACAAGAGUAAUCGCGUUGACAUGGCCAGAGCACAGAUAAAGAUACCAGUAUCUGGAACAAAAUCAGCUGGAUAUCUCCGUACCAAUUCAGUAAGAGACCUCUCCCUUAACUGGUUAAUUCGUUGUGAUGGAGCCAUGGAGAAGCCAUGCCUUCAGGCAGAGUUUUCCUAGAUUCAGGUGAAGAACAAGACCCUCAUCCUGAGAGAAAAGUUCCUGACAGAGAGGAAGGGUGUACGGGGUGCAAAGCGCCAUGCUGUUCAGAGGGAUGUUCUGACUUUGUGCGACCCAUUUGAGUAAGUCCUGGAAUCGUUUUGAGUCAUCUGUGAUGGCAGACAGAGAUGGCAUUACCGCCUCGUCUGGAGAUGAAGAUAAAUUGUGGGCUGGUGAGCAGUCUUGUGGAUUGGAAUCCUCCAACUCCUCGGAAUCCACAUGCACCUCCGAGGGCUCAGUGGCUGUCACUGUAGAAGGGUGAAUUUGUCACCUCUGUGGGGUGUGAGGUCUGUGUGUCUGAGAUCUGUAGAUCGCCCGUGGGUCCCAUUGUGCCCAAUGCAUUGGGAAUGGCAUGGCUGGGCACAUCCAUGGGUUAAGCCAGACAUGGGGGCACGUCCCUGUAACUGGUUCCUGGCACUUGUAUGGGAUGGAGAGGAGUGUCCUGAAUAGAAGACUGCCUCUUUUAGGUCAUCUUCCCCAUCGCUUAAAAAUUGUGGGGCAUUAGGUGAGUCCAUCUGUACUGGUGCAGUCGGCACCAGAGAACAGUUUGUGCUGAGUACAGGUGUGCCAGGCUUGAAUGAUAUCUCAGUGCCAGUUGAUUGACCGAGGGAGCGCGGUCCCAUGGGCGUUGGUGCCAUGCUCUUAUGUGUAGACGUCUGUGAGAUUAGUCCUGUUGGUACCGUCAACUUAUGUGUGGCCUCGGUUGAUGCCAGUGAUGCCGACUUAGUGCGUUCAUGCAUUGGCUCUGCAGCAUGUGGUACCAGUGGAGGUGGCAUUGUAAUCAGAGGCGGUAUUGGCACCGUGUCCUUCCUCAAGGCAUUUGGUGCCAUGGAGUACAAGGCUCAUUUGUGCCUACUACUCAACACCUAAUCUCUGCUGGCAUAGGUCCCAAUACAGACGGUGCCGGAGGUGCCUGGAGCAUCAAACAUGCUCACCCUGCUGGCCGUCGGCACCAAGGGUAGUGAUCAUGCUGGAGACAGUUUCCUCUUCAACAGUUCUCUGUGGGUUGGAGAUGCCUCCCUCUUCCUUGAUUUUCUGGAGGAAAGGGAACUCAAUCUGUCCAGCGAGGAGGCACACAGGGAAUCCCCCGAUGGGGUUUUUUCUGAGAUAGAGACGGUGGCGUUAGGGAUUUCUCCAUAAGGAUCAUUUUAAGUCUGAGAUCCCUUUCCCUCCUUGCUCUGGCUUUAAGAUUGCUGCUGUGGUUGCAUUUUUGAGGGAUGUGCACCUCCCCCAGGCAACUGAGUGUCCAUUGGAGACAGGCAUAGCAUCCUUACACAAAGUGCAGCGUUUAAAACCAGGGAUGCCUGGCAUUUUCGUUAUCCAAUUUUGUCGUAGUAUAAGGAGAUAGAAAUGGAGAGGAAAGCUCUCCGAUUAUAUAUAUAUAUAUAUAUAUUUUAAAACAGGGAAAGGGUAAGUGGUUCAACAGAAACCUAAGACUAACUAUUAACUAAUUACUGGGAGCUAAACUUAACUAUUUCUAAAUCUUUUCUAGGUAAAUUUCUGACACCGCCCCUGGAGCUCCAUCUGCAGCUGAGGGCGGUCGAGAAGGAACUGAGGGGGUCAGGACGCGCGAGCACUAGAUGAAGCGCCAACAGUACCGUGAGACAGCUACUGCACACGCGCGUCCCAACCAGGCACUGCUACCAAAAUCCUCUGAUCAGCAGCACCGGGACACAUCAACACCUGAAGUGGAGCACCCACAGGGACAGCUCUCAAAGAAGAACUUAACCAUACUAAAUAGCUCAGUGGAGAAAAAGUUACACUGUCAAGACUCCACUAAUAAGAGGCUACAGCUUUAGACUUGGGAGUCUUUCAGCUUUAUUUAAAUGGGACCUACUUAAUCUAAAUCACAGGCAUGAUUUAAGUCCGCAUUUUCUCACAGUGGAAUUAGAAAUAUCAGAUAUUUCCACCGAUGUGCAGGGACAGAAAACAUUUUUGAUAGCUGUGUGCUAACUGUUGGCAAAAUAUUGACUAAGUGGCCACUCCUGCAAUGCCAGGAAGAACAGAUACUUAUCAACCUCUUUUGAGGUUGUUUUACAGUCCUAGGAUUUCAAGCAAGUUUCAAAAAAAUUCACCAAGGCAUCCAAAAAAUUGGGCACCAAGGCAUCCAUCCACCAAAGUACUUAAACACAUGGCUAAUUUGACUUCACUGGGGCUACUGUUGUAGUGCUUCUCUGUGUUAUUUUAAACUUCCUUUAAAUGAGUCACUGUUAUAGACCGACAUGUCGAAAGAGAUGGUGCUGAACAAUUCAAUUAGAUUGCAGUAAAUCUUCAGGACUAGAUUAUUAUAGGUGAGGCUCAUAAUGCUGCUAAUUAUGAAGGUUUUCUGACACUUCCCAUUGUAAGACUUUUCAGUUGCUUACAAAACUUUGCCCAACUUUAACCAUUCAGGCUGAAAUUUAUCAUGCUAAGCUGGGGCUCUGACAGUGAACCUGGAGGGGGACAGUAGGACUGGCUAAGCAAGGAGACUUGGAAGAGGAGCCAGAGGAGUGGAAAGUGGGACUGGGAGGGGGAACCUGGGGUGGGGAAAAGAAGGGGCGGAAGAGUCUAUGACCACGUCAGCACAAUCUCCUCCAGUGCCUGUAAUGGAAUCCAAGAUUCCUGGAGUUUCACCAUUCCUCUGCUGUCAGCAAACAUAUCUAUGAAACCAACUGGCAAAAUGUGCAUCUCAAAUCCUGUGUAGUGCUGGUCCAGAUAGCAGCAAUAUGUUGUCAUCUUCUAUCAGUUACUCUGGUAGCUCAAGUGGCAGGGGUCUGUGAAGUGGAUCUAAAGAUUCCAACCCUUCUGACUACAUGUGGGUGCCAACAGGAUGCCACAUAAUGGAAUUUCUUCCUCCCUCCCUCCCCCCAGUUUUGUCUUUGUAAAGAUUUAGGAAAUUAUACAGAAAACUAUGUUAACAGACCAUUAAGGUUGCAAAAUAAAGCACUCAGAAAAUGCCUUAAUUAAGGUUGCUUGUGCAAGUCUGACCCCUUGUGCAUAUGCGCUAUGAUACAGUAUUUAGUAACAUGAUUGCAGACUAUUUGCCACAUUUUGUGUGUGUAAUAUACAUACAAGAGUACUAAAGUACUUUAAGAAAAAUGGCUACUGAACUGCUAAUAAAGAUGUUUUGCCGCAAUUACCGCACUGGAGAGUAACAAAAGUACCUAUCUUAAAGGAACUAGAUGUGAUCUUGGAAAUUACACAUCAGUCAACCUUACUGCAGUAUCAGGUAAGCUGGUUGAAUCAAUUUAGAAAAGAAUAAGACCUCUUGAUAUGGUAGCAAUAAAUCAGCUUGGCAAAUAAGAAAAUCAUGUCUCUCUAGUCUACGAAGGCAUGUCAAUAAAGUAGUGCAGCAGGAGAAAUGGCUGACACUGUAUUUGAAUAAAGGUUUUAUAAAGUUUCUAACAAAGUUCUACAGAGGCUUUGGAAAUCAAUCACAACGUGAGAAGUAAUGUACUGUCACAAAUUAGAAACGGGCAAAAAAGAAAGGCUAUACUUCAUACAGUAACUGUAUUUCUUGAUGUGUGGUCCCUCUCAGUAUUCCACUGGAGGUGUGCAUGUGCUCCACAUGUGUGAGACCAGAAGAUUCUUGCUAGCAGUGUCCGUUGGUCCACAUCUGAACCCUUUUACUCCUCCUGCUCUGAGCCAACAGUAUGAGGGGUGGUGCAGACUGACUACCUCUCCAGCUACCUUUCUGCCAUGAAUAGCAUUAAACGCACUGCAGCAGAAGGGAAGGAGGGAGGGUAGUUGAACAGAUAGUGACCACACAUCUUGAUCUCCAAUUACUGUACAAGGUAAGUAACUUCACCUCUCUUAGCUCUUCAAGAGAUGCGUUGUAUAUUCCACUAUAGAGACAAAGGAUCAGUCCAGACAGAGGACCCAGAGUAUCAUAGACACCAUCCUGAUUUCAUAAGAGGGAUUGUGCACCUGGAGACUAGUGGUAGUCUCCUCCGUGGUGACUAUCCUAAUUUCCAUUUGACCUCUCAAACUUAUGAGUCACAAGCAGUUGUCAUUGAGAAGAAGGGUCCAAAGAUCCCCGCUGUACUACUGAUUGGAGAACUGCUCUGCCAAAGGAUGUCAGCUAUAGUAGCUUGCACCAGGGCAUGAUGUUUCACAGAAGCGUGAGCAGAGCUCCGUGUUGCUGCUUUACAGGAGAGGGUCAUCUUAAGUGAGGCUACUGAUGCAGCCUAGGCUCUAGCGGAGUGGGCCUUCACAUCUUGUUGGGGAGGAAUCCAUCAAAAAUAUUUUCUGAUGGGAGGCUGGGGUUAGAAGGACUAUAGGGUGGGGGGGGAGGGGGAAGAGACACGUUAUGUUUGCUACAUUGCACCUUCUAAUGCUUCCUGAGUGACUCCUAACCCUUUUGAUAAUAAAAGGGUUAAGGGGCUGGGUGUUAUUUGUAGAGCUAUGAUUUGUGGAAUUUCUGCUAUGGUGCUUGAGUACAGAUGCCUAGUGAGCAGAGGGUUACCUUUAAGUCCUUUCAGGAAUGCAGCAACUCAACUGUCUUCUCACUAAACAAACAGUUUCCCCUCAAAGGGCUGAUCCUCCACCAUGAACUGGACAUCCUUGGGAAAUCUGAAGGAUUAGAGCCACAACAACCAAUGUAUGACCACAGAAGUUGCCAUCAAGAACAACAUUAUAUCAGCUGCAUCAACUAAGGCUUGAAGGGAUGCUCUGGCUAACAAUUUACCCUCAGUGAGUGCUUGGAAUUGCAGCCUAUCUUUUUGUGGGAAUUAGUGAAUUCCUCAAGCUUAGUAUAAUUAAUAAAAUCGUAUUCUGACAUUAAGGUUUGGUAAUGUGCUAUAUGAAACUGUACAUUCAAAGUAAAUAUUUUUCUUCCAAAAAGUUCUAAGUAUUUAGCUUCCUUAUCAGAGGGGAGUAGACACUGUCUACUUCUUUCAGUAACAGCUUGUACUACUAAUGAAUUCAGAGCAGGGCAUAUAAAUAAAAAUUCUGCCCUUUAGAUGGCACAAAGUACUUCUUCAUUCUUUUUGGAGUGAAGGCACAAGUAGCUGGAGUGUGCCAGAUGGUCUUGGCUGAUUCUAAAAUGGCUUCGUUAAUGGGACCAAUCUCUGGAGAAUGCAGAGUAAUUUAUGAGGGAUGUCCUGCAAUUCCUCCAGAGGGAUACGGAAUGUGUCUGCAAUCCUCCUCAGUAAAUCUUCAAGUUGCCUGUUACCACUAGGCAGUGAUGGUGAAGCUAGUACAAUCACACCUGGAGAUGACGAUGACAAUCACAUUAGGGCUGGUGGUUCAGUCUGAUCUAGUUCCUCCUCUUCCUCCACUAGUUCUUGAGGAGGUUUGGGAUCUUCUUUGCAAACGAAGCGUUGUCUGGAUUCCCAAUGGGAUCAUCUAGAUUCAAGAUAUUGCAUGUAUGGAUCCGACAGUAUCCAGUAAGGCCAGUUUGAGAGGUCAAAUGGAAAUUGGGAUAGUCACCAUGGAGGAGACUACCACUAGUCUCCAGGUGCACAAUCCCUCUUAUGAAAUCAGGAUGGUGCCUAUGAGACUCGGGGUCCUCUGUCUGGACUGAUCCUUUGUCUCUAUGGGAGUGGUGAUGAUCUCCCACUAAACCUGACUUUUCAGAAGCACUGGCAGUUUUGAAUUCUAUGGAUGGUGCUGCCUUAUUAUGCUCAACUGGUAGACUGUACUGGUGAGUGGCUCUCCCUACCUUGCAUGCUCUGGACCAGUGGUGUAGAGACCUUCCUAGUCAGAACGGGUUCCAACAGAAUUGGGGAUUCCAAGACCAUAUAGAUGGACUUGUCCUUGGGGGCCUCAUAUGUAUCCCCUGAUGCAAGUGAACAGACUGGCUUGUCUUUCUGUGGUGUCAGCGGUUUGAUCUCAUUGCUGUCUUCAGUACCAACAACUCCUUUUCUUGGUGCAUUGGUACCAUCAGUGUAGGAGGUACCUACUUUUGUUAUUCCCUCAUUUGUAUUGGGGACGGUGCAGCUCCUGCACUUAGCAUUGGUUUUGGGGCACUUCUGCCCUUCAGAGCCAAGAGAAUGGUACCAUGUUCCUUAUGAGCUUCUGAAACUCCCUACAGGGGUGUAGAGUUUGACCUAACUUGGAGGUUGUUGGAGAAUAGGGAUGUAAAUAUCAUUUAAAAGAGUACUCAUUUAAACUAUUAAAAUUAUCAGUUAACUCUUUAAUUGUUAACAAGUUCACGGUCUACCCCUGGCUUGGGGGGGGCGGCACCCUGCUGUCUCUCCUUGGAGAGCUGUGGGAUCAUUUGCGUGUGCAUGACUGGGCACCUUGCACUGAUCACACCCUCUCCCAGUUACUAGGUGUUGCCUAAUGCGGCUAAUUUGGCGGAUCGCUGCCGGGAGAGCAGCAGUGCCAGGGCAGAUCCAAAUGUUCUAGUAGAUCCAGUGAUUCCCAGGCAGACCCACCGUUGCAGCCAGCUGCAAGAGAAGCAGAGCUGGAGGGGACGGGGUUGCCAGGCUGCCCCCAGCAGUGCCCUCUCUGCCAGGCAUGGGCUGAUCCAGCGGUGCCCCGAGCUGUGAGAACGCUGCAAGCUUCAGUGCCCCCCUCCCCCUGGGUAUUGCUGUAGCGUUUUUAAUGUGCACAUUAGGUAUUACAAUGUCACAAAAUUAUUUUAUCAAUCUUACUCCUGGGGGAAUUCUG